GCUUGCUGGGGGGAUUAGUGGCGAACGGGUGAGUAACACGUGAGUAACCUGCCCUUGACUCUGGGAUAAGCCUGGGAAACUGGGUCUAAUACCGGAUAUGACCUUCCAUCGCAUGGUGGUUGGUGGAAAGCUUUUGUGGUUUUGGAUGGACUCGCGGCCUAUCAGCUUGUUGGUGAGGUAAUGGCUUACCAAGGCGACGACGGGUAGCCGGCCUGAGAGGGUGACCGGCCACACUGGGACUGAGACACGGCCCAGACUCCUACGGGAGGCAGCAGUGGGGAAUAUUGCACAAUGGGCGCAAGCCUGAUGCAGCGACGCCGCGUGAGGGAUGACGGCCUUCGGGUUGUAAACCUCUUUCAGUAGGGAAGAAGCCGCAAGGUGACGGUACCUGCAGAAGAAGCGCCGGCUAACUACGUGCCAGCAGCCGCGGUAAUACGUAGGGCGCAAGCGUUAUCCGGAAUUAUUGGGCGUAAAGAGCUCGUAGGCGGUUUGUCGCGUCUGCCGUGAAAGUCCGGGGCUCAACUCCGGAUCUGCGGUGGGUACGGGCAGACUAGAGUGAUGUAGGGGAGACUGGAAUUCCUGGUGUAGCGGUGAAAUGCGCAGAUAUCAGGAGGAACACCGAUGGCGAAGGCAGGUCUCUGGGCAUUAACUGACGCUGAGGAGCGAAAGCAUGGGGAGCGAACAGGAUUAGAUACCCUGGUAGUCCAUGCCGUAAACGUUGGGCACUAGGUGUGGGGGACAUUCCACGUUUUCCGCGCCGUAGCUAACGCAUUAAGUGCCCCGCCUGGGGAGUACGGCCGCAAGGCUAAAACUCAAAGGAAUUGACGGGGGCCCGCACAAGCGGCGGAGCAUGCGGAUUAAUUCGAUGCAACGCGAAGAACCUUACCAAGGCUUGACAUGAACCGGACCGGGGCGGAAACAGUUUUUCCCCUUUGGGGCUGGUUUACAGGUGGUGCAUGGUUGUCGUCAGCUCGUGUCGUGAGAUGUUGGGUUAAGUCCCGCAACGAGCGCAACCCUCGUUCUAUGUUGCCAGCACGUGAUGGUGGGGACUCAUAGGAGACUGCCGGGGUCAACUCGGAGGAAGGUGGGGACGACGUCAAAUCAUCAUGCCCCUUAUGUCUUGGGCUUCACGCAUGCUACAAUGGCCGGUACAAAGGGUUGCGAUACUGUGAGGUGGAGCUAAUCCCAAAAAGCCGGUCUCAGUUCGGAUUGGGGUCUGCAACUCGACCCCAUGAAGUCGGAGUCGCUAGUAAUCGCAGAUCAGCAACGCUGCGGUGAAUACGUUCCCGGGCCUUGUACACACCGCCCGUCAAGUCACGAAAGUUGGUAACACCCGAAGCCGGUGGCCUAACCCCUUGUGGGAGGGAG
rnacentral:rRNA from 1 species